rnacentral:rRNA from 1 species
UAAUUGGAUUAGUGGCGGACGGGUGAGUAACGCGUGAGUAACCUGCCUUACACAAGGGAUAGCCGUUGGAAACGACGAAUAAUACCCUAUGACAUAAACUCUUCGCAUGAGGAGCUUAUCAAAGAUUUAUCGGUGUAAGAUGGACUCGCGUCCCAUUAGCUAGUUGGUGAAGGUAACGGCCCACCAAGGCAACGAUGGGUAGCCGGCCUGAGAGGGUGAACGGCCACAUUGGAACUGAGAAACGGUCCAAACUCCUACGGGAGGCAGCAGGU